CUUAGGAAUAUAUAUUUUUUUUUAAUUGAGAUAAUGUUUUAUGCUUUUUUUUCCUCUUUAACCCCUUAAGGACAAAACUUCUGGAAUAAAAGGGAAUCAUGACAUGUCACACAUGUCAUGUGUCCUUAAGAGGUUAAAGUGAUAUUUAAAAUUUAGUGCUGUAUUGUCCAUGGCUUUUAUUUUCAUGGGAAAAGACAGUGAAAGAACAUGCCAACACAUCCCCUUUAAUUUCACAGGAAAAAAAUGAUAACGUAGCAAGAAAAAUAAUAAGAACGCAUUGUACACUUUACAGAUUGAAAUUUCUCUCUUGUCAUCUUCUUCCGGCAUCUGUAACGGAAUUCUUUACACCAUUUAUGCAUAGCUGUCUUUGUUUUUUAUUGUCUUUAAAGAGACAUAUAGAUUUAAUGUUAUUAAGGAGAGAAGCAGAAAAAUUAGUUUAGGUUUGGUCUAAUUAAUCAUAUAAAUGAUUCACCGCUGUGACUUCCAAUAACUCAUUUUUACGUCCAUGCAUAAUUACGAGGCAGCUGCAUAAUACACAAUGCUUAUAUUUUACAUCGUGGUCGCCAGAUAGCUGUAAAUAUUCCUCGUUUUCAGGGCUGUAAAAGUUGGCGUGAAUAUUACUUGCCCUUUCGGAAGUUAUCAAUUUUUUGUUAUCCGCUUUAAAAAUGCCAGUUGCGUUCACCUUGUGAGACAAGCCGAAGGUCACAGCGCCUUGUAAUCAGGCAGACGUCUUAUUACACCCCUUGGCCAGCCAUCGAUUUGAUGUCCCUAAAGUCAUCGCAGAUUUACGUUAUUGAUGGCUGUAAGCAUACACAAUCAUGCGAGUGCAGCAGAACUCAAAGUUUGUAAUCCGGAAACACAAACAGGGGAAAUUACAAACGAGGUAUCAAUAAAUUGAUGAUAGAGUAAACCCCCUUUUUAACCCUUUUCAUUGUUGAGCAAUAAGCAAAGGAAUACAUUAUUAAACCACACACUUUCCUUGCAUGUCCCCCACUGUUAGAGGUUGCUGACUUCAGAAAAUAUUGCCCCAAAGGGCUUCCUCUAUUCUCAUUAAAUUCUUAACUCCUGCUAUUCUGUUUUAAUACAUUUGAUUUUUUGUUUUGUUUUCUUUAAUCUUACAUUUUUAUUAUUGUUUUAAACAAUAGACACCAUGAUAAUACAUGGAUAUAAAAAUAUAUAUAUAUAAAAAAAACACACACAG